rnacentral:lncRNA from 1 species
CCCACCUCCCUUCCCCCACUGGAAGCAUCCCCUUCACCUCCCCCUCAGAAAAGAGCAGCCCUCCCAGGGACGUCAACCAAAUAUGGCAUAACAAGCUACAGCAAGACCAGGCACACAUUCUCACACCAAGGCUGGACAAGGCCACCCAGUAGGAGGAAUAGGGUCCCAAAGGCAGGCAGAGUCAAAGACAGCCCCUGCUCCUACUGUUAGGCUGGGUGAAGUUUUUAAAUCCGCCUUUUCCCAUUUAACAGUGGAGUGUAUCCAUGCUUCCCACUAACAAAUGAUAUUCUACACCACCACAUUUAGGGUAUUUCACUUUAUAGGGGAAACCUGCAUAUCUGGGUCCUCCCUGAAAGUGAGGUGCUCAAUUCAUCUUAAGUCUGUAGAAAACCCUGAGAUUUCCUUAGAAAUGCAUUGUGGAAGCCCCCAGCAUCCAGUUCACGCUUAGUAUACUGUCUGACUCUCAAUAAAUAUUUAUUGACAAAG